UACAAAAUAUAAUGGACCGGUUCAUAAUUCCUUAUAACUUUUAGGUCUAGUUUCACAGACAGGGCUUGGAUUAAGCCAGGAUUAGGCUGUAGUUAAAUUUAGAACAUUGAAGUAGCUUUUGUAAACAUGCAUUUAGAAAAAAAAAAAAAAAACAUUACUGAUGUGCAUCUUGAGACAAAACCAUGGCACUGACACCUUUUUUUUUUUUUUGUAAUGCCCAAUAGUUGCCAGAUGCUGUCCUGUUGGAAAUUCUUCUUUACGUGAUCCUGGAGGAGGGGUGAUGCUACAUUACUAAGUCCGUCUUUGGUUUGUUCCAAAUUCAGAAGUCUGCUGUACUGUAUACAGACUCCUUUCGAAAGCGGGCACAAUCCAGCUGGCUUAGCUGAGUAUCUUUUACAUAUUUGAUUAGAGGUUUAAAAAGGUGGAACAAAAUGGAGAACAAGUCUAAGCCAUGUCAGGAAUUCAACAAAAUGUACACCCUGCAGACACUGCGACGAGGUUUACAUCAACUGCUUACCAGGUCACUGCAGUCACCUGGAUCGAGUACGUAUCCAGACCAGAUGGUGGAUCGCACCUAGAAAGAACCUCUACAGCCCUGAAAGACAGCGGAGACCAGGACAACUAGAGCCCCAGAUACAGAUCCCCUGUAAAGACCUUGUUUUUUCUCCAUUUUGUCACCGGUGGAGUUUUGGUUCCUUGUCGCCUCUGGCUUGCUUCGUUGUGGUCACUUCAUUUACAGUGAUAUCAUUGACAUGAUUGCAAAU